GACGAACCGUGCGAACGUUGUUCGGAAUCACUGGGCUUAAAGGGCGCGUAGGCGGGCAUUAAAGUCAGGGGUGAAAUCCCCCAGCUUAACUGGGGAACUGCCUUUGAUACUGAAUGUCUCGAGUAAGGUAGGGGCAUGCGGAACUGAUGGUGGAGCGGUGAAAUGUGUUGAUAUCAUCAGGAACUCCGGUGGCGAAGGCGGCAUGCUGGACCUUCACUGACGCUGAGGCG
rnacentral:rRNA from 1 species